rnacentral:miRNA from 1 species
UUGGCCAAAAAGUUUGUUCAGGUUUUUCCACAAGAUGUUAUGGAAAAACCCAAACUAACUUUUUUGCCA